AGGAAAGACAACAGGAAUGAUGUGGAAAGCAAAUGGACCAGCGGUGCCUGGCCCGGCCAUGCUGACUCCUCACCCCGCUCUAGAGGGAAGCUGAGAAACAGAACCUCCGAGGCUCCGAACCAGUGGGGCCAGGGGCCUGUGGAGAUAGGGAAGGCAGCCCAGAGUAGCAGAGGUCUGUUUAAGAAGCCCACAGAUCCUCCCUGGCUGCCUGCUCCAGACCACCAAGGGCCAGCCGCCCUGGAGGGGUGCUCCCUGGGGAGAAUGGAGCAGGGGCUCUGUGGCCAGAGGGACCUCAUGCACAGAUGGCAGGGAGGUAUCCUGCCCCCUAAAGGCUGAAAUCCCCACUCAGCCCCCAGAGGACCUUAUCAGACAGGCAAGGCCUAGGAGAGUCCCUCCCUCCUCCUGCAGGUAAGCUAUAACCUUGCUGUGUCCCAGCAGAGAGCGGACCACUCACCCUCUAGGGAAAAGCCCCAGUGGACAAGCCCACCUGGUCCUCAGUUUCCAGUCAGCUCUGCAGGCCCCGCCCCUAAAUACAGCAGAGAAGAUCCUGCAUCCAUACACCAAGAGCAGGAUGCUUUGAAGGAAGACACUCACAGAACAAAAACUAGAAAUGAGUUUCCCAGUUCUCAGCACAACGGAUGGAAACUGACCCACAGCAAGACCCUCCAUCCAAGACUAGAAGCAUGAAGCAGCCACGGCAGAAAGGACACCAUGGCUAGGUCUGUGCGGUGAUCACCUUGCAC